UCCACAGCUAUGCAGUAAGUCAGGUCGAUAGAUCCACACCACAGCUAUGCAGUAAGUCAGGUCUAUAGAUCCACACCACAGCUAUGCAGUUAGUCAGUUCUAUAGACCCACAGCUAUGCAGUAAGUCAGGUCUAUAGAUCCUCAGCUAUGCAGUAAGUCAGGUCUAUAGAUCCACACCACAGCUAUGCAGUAAGUCAGGUCUAUAGAUCCACAGCUAUGCAGUAAGUCAGGUCUAUAGAUCCACAGUGAUGCAGUAAGUCAGGUCUAUAGAUCCACAGUGAUGCAGUAAGUCAGGUCUAUAGAUCCACAGCUAUGCAGUAAGUCAGGUCUAUAGAUCCACACCACAGCUAUGCAGUAAGUCAGGUCUAUAGAUCCACACCAUAGCUAUGCAGUAAGUCAGGUCUAUAGAUCCACAGCGAUGCAGUAAGUCUGGUCUAUAGAUCCACAUUUAUGCAGUUAGUCAGGUCUAUAGAUCCACAUUUAUGCAGUAAGUCAGGUCUAUAGACCCACAGCUAUGCAGUAAGUCAGGUCUAUAGAUCCACAGCUAUGCAGUAAGUCAGGUCUAUAGAUCCACACCACAACUAUACAGUAAGUCAGGUCUAUAGAUCCACAGCUAUGCAGUAAGUCAGGUCGAUAGAUCCACACCACAGCUAUGCAGUAAGUCAGGUCUAUAGAUCCACACCACAGCUAUGCAGUUAGUCAGGUCUAUAGACCCACAGCUAUGCAGUAAGUCAGGUCUAUAGAUCCUCAGCUAUGCAGUAAGUCAGGUCUAUAGAUCCACACCACAGCUAUGCAGUAAGUCAGGUCUAUAGAUCCACAGCUAUGCAGUAAGUCAGGUCUAUAGAUCCACACCACAGCUAUGCAGUAAGUCAGGUCUAUAGAUCCACACCAUAGCUAUGCAGUAAGUCAGGUCUAUAGAUCCACAGCUAUACAGUAAGUCAGGUCUAUAGAUCCACACCACAGCCAUGCAGUAAGUCAGGUCUAUAGAUCCACAGCUAUGCAGUAAGUCAGGUAUAUAGAUCCACACCAUAGCUAUGCAGUAAGUCAGGUCUAUAGAUCCACAGCUAUACAGUAAGUCAGGUCUAUAGAUCCACAGCUAUACAGUAAGUCAGGUCUAUAGAUCCACAGCUAUACAGUAAGUCAGGUCUAUAGAUCCACAGUGAUGCAGUAAGUCAGGUCUAUAGAUCCACAGCUAUGCAGUAAGUCAGGUCUAUAGAUCCACAGUGAUGCAGUAAGUCAGGUCUAUAGAUCCACAGCUAUGCAGUAAGUCAGGUCUAUAGAUCCACACCACAGCUAUGCAGUAAGUCAGGUCUAUAGAUCCACACCAUAGCUAUGCAGUAAGUCAGGUCUAUAGAUCCACAGCGAUGCAGUAAGUCUGGUCUAUAGAUCCACAUUUAUGCAGUUAGUCAGGUCUAUAGAUCCACAUUUAUGCAGUAAGUCAGGUCUAUAGACCCACAGCUAUGCAGUAAGUCAGGUCUAUAGAUCCACAGCUAUGCAGUAAGUCAGGUCUAUAGAUCCACACCACAACUAUACAGUAAGUCAGGUCUAUAGAUCCACAGCUAUGCAGUAAGUCAGGUCGAUAGAUCCACACCACAGCUAUGCAGUAAGUCAGGUCUAUAGAUCCACACCACAGCUAUGCAGUUAGUCAGGUCUAUAGACCCACAGCUAUGCAGUAAGUCAGGUCUAUAGAUCCUCAGCUAUGCAGUAAGUCAGGUCUAUAGAUCCACACCACAGCUAUGCAGUAAGUCAGGUCUAUAGAUCCACAGCUAUGCAGUAAGUCAGGUCUAUAGAUCCACACCACAGCUAUGCAGUAAGUCAGGUCUAUAGAUCCACACCAUAGCUAUGCAGUAAGUCAGGUCUAUAGAUCCACAGCUAUACAGUAAGUCAGGUCUAUAGAUCCACACCACAGCCAUGCAGUAAGUCAGGUCUAUAGAUCCACAGCUAUGCAGUAAGUCAGGUAUAUAGAUCCACACCAUAGCUAUGCAGUAAGUCAGGUCUAUAGAUCCACAGCUAUACAGUAAGUCAGGUCUAUAGAUCCACACCACAGCCAUGCAGUAAGUCAGGUCUAUAGAUCCACAGCUAUGCAGUAAGUCAGGUCUAUAGAUCCACACCACAGCUAUGCAGUAAGUCAGGUCUAUAGAUCCACACCAUAGCUAUGCAGUAAGUCAGGUCUAUAGAUCCACAGCUAUACAGUAAGUCAGGUCUAUAGAUCCACACCACAGCCAUGCAGUAAUUUCAGGUCUAUAGACCCACAGCUAUGCAGUAAGUCAGGUCUAUAGAUCCACAGCUAUGCAGUAAGUCAGGUCUAUAGAUCCACACCACAGCUAUGCAGUAAGUCAGGUCUAUAGAUCCUCAGCUAUGCAGUAAGUCAGGUCUAUAUAUCCACACCACAGCUAUGCAGUUAGUCAGGUCUAUAGACCCACAGCUAUGCAGUAAGUCAGGUCUAUAGAUCCACACCACAGCUAUACAGUAAGUCAGGUCUAUAGAUCCACAGCUAUGCAGUAAGUCGGGUCUAUAGACCCACAGCUAUGCAGUAAGUCAGGUCUAUAGAUCCACAGCUAUGCAGUAAGUCAGGUCUAUAGAUCCACACCACAGCUAUGCAGUAAGUCAGGUCUAUAGAUCCACACCAUAGCUAUGCAGUAAGUCAGGUCUAUAGAUCCACAGCUAUACAGUAAGUCAGGUCUAUAGAUCCACACCACAGCCAUGCAGUAAGUCAGGUCUAUAGAUCCACAGCUAUGCAGUAAGUCAGGUCUAUAGAUCCACAGCUAUGCAGUAAGUCAGGUCUAUAGAUCCACACCACAGCUAUGCAGUAAGUCAGGUCUAUAGAUCCACAGCUAUACAGUAAGUCAGGUCUAUAGAUCCACAGCUAUGCAGUAAGUCAAGUCUAUAGAUCCACAGCUAUACAGUAAGUCAGAUCUAUAGAUCCACACCACAGCUAUGCAGUAAGUCAGGUCUAUAGAUCCACACCACAGCCAUGCAGUAAGUCAGGUCUAUAGAUCCACAGCUAUACAGUAAGUCAGGUCUAUAGAUCCACAGCUAUGCAGUAAGUCAGGUCUAUAGAUCCACAGCUAUGCAGUAAGUCAGGUCUAUAGAUCCACACCACAGCUAUGCAGUAAGUCAGGUCUAUAGAUCCACAGCUAUACAGGAAGUCAGGUCUAUAGAUCCACAGCUAUGCAGUAAGUCAGGUCUAUAGAUCCACAGCUAUGCAGUUAGUCAGGUCUAUAGAUCCACAGCUAUGCAGUAAGUCAGGUCUAUAGAUCCACAGCUAUGCAGUAAGUCAGGUCUAUAGAUCCACAGCUAUGCAGUAAGUCAGGUCUAUAGAUCCACACCACAACUAUACAGUAAGUCAGGUCUAUAGAUCCACAGCUAUGCAGUAAGUCAGGUCGAUAGAUCCACACCACAGCUAUGCAGUAAGUCAGGUCUAUAGAUCCACACCACAGCUAUGCAGUUAGUCAGGUCUAUAGACCCACAGCUAUGCAGUAAGUCAGGUCUAUAGAUCCUCAGCUAUGCAGUAAGUCAGGUCUAUAGAUCCACACCACAGCUAUGCAGUAAGUCAGGUCUAUAGAUCCACAGCUAUGCAGUAAGUCAGGUCUAUAGAUCCACACCACAGCUAUGCAGUAAGUCAGGUCUAUAGAUCCACACCAUAGCUAUGCAGUAAGUCAGGUCUAUAGAUCCACAGCUAUACAGUAAGUCAGGUCUAUAGAUCCACACCACAGCCAUGCAGUAAGUCAGGUCUAUAGAUCCACAGCUAUGCAGUAAGUCAGGUAUAUAGAUCCACACCAUAGCUAUGCAGUAAGUCAGGUCUAUAGAUCCACAGCUAUACAGUAAGUCAGGUCUAUAGAUCCACACCACAGCCAUGCAGUAAGUCAGGUCUAUAGAUCCACAGCUAUGCAGUAAGUCAGGUCUAUAGAUCCACACCACAGCUAUGCAGUAAGUCAGGUCUAUAGAUCCACACCAUAGCUAUGCAGUAAGUCAGGUCUAUAGAUCCACAGCUAUACAGUAAGUCAGGUCUAUAGAUCCACACCACAGCCAUGCAGUAAGUCAGGUCUAUAGAUCCACAGCUAUGCAGUAAGUCAGGUCUAUAGAUCCACACCACAGCUAUGCAGUAAGUCAGGUCUAUAGAUCCUCAGCUAUGCAGUAAGUCAGGUCUAUAUAUCCACACCACAGCUAUGCAGUUAGUCAGGUCUAUAGACCCACAGCUAUGCAGUAAGUCAGGUCUAUAGAUCCACACCACAGCUAUACAGUAAGUCAGGUCUAUAGAUCCACAGCUAUGCAGUAAGUCGGGUCUAUAGACCCACAGCUAUGCAGUAAGUCAGGUCUAUAGAUCCACAGCUAUGCAGUAAGUCAGGUCUAUAGAUCCACACCACAGCUAUGCAGUAAGUCAGGUCUAUAGAUCCACACCACAGCUAUACAGUAAGACUGGUCUAUAGAUCCACAGCUAUGCAGUAAGUCAGGUCUAUAGAUCCACAGCUAUACAGUAAGUCAGGUCUAUAGAUCCACAGCUAUACAGUUAGUCAGGUCUAUAGAUCCACAGCUAUGCAGUAAGUCAGGUCUAUAGAUCCACAGUGAUGCAGUAAGUCAGGUCUAUAGAUCCACAGCUAUGCAGUAAGUCAGGUCUAUAGAUCCACAGUGAUGCAGUAAGUCAGGUCUAUAGAUCCACAGCUAUGCAGUAAGUCAGGUCUAUAGAUCCACACCACAGCUAUGCAGUAAGUCAGGUCUAUAGAUCCACACCAUAGCUAUGCAGUAAGUCAGGUCUAUAGAUCCACAGCUAUACAGUAAGUCAGGUCUAUAGAUCCACACCACAGCCAUGCAGUAAGUCAGGUCUAUAGAUCCACAGCUAUGCAGUAAGUCAGGUAUAUAGAUCCACACCAUAGCUAUGCAGUAAGUCAGGUCUAUAGAUCCACACCACAGCCAUGCAGUAAGUCAGGUCUAUAGAUCCACAGCUAUGCAGUAAGUCAGGUCUAUAGAUCCACACCACAGCUAUGCAGUAAGUCAGGUCUAUAGAUCCACACCAUAGCUAUGCAGUAAGUCAGGUCUAUAGAUCCACAGCUAUACAGUAAGUCAGGUCUAUAGAUCCACACCACAGCCAUGCAGUAAGUCAGGUCUAUAGAUCCACAGCUAUGCAGUAAGUCAGGUCUAUAGAUCCACACCACAGCUAUGCAGUAAGUCAGGUCUAUAGAUCCACACCAUAGCUAUGCAGUAAGUCAGGUCUAUAGAUCCACAGCUAUACAGUAAGUCAGGUCUAUAGAUCCACACCACAGCCAUGCAGUAAUUUCAGGUCUAUAGACCCACAGCUAUGCAGUAAGUCAGGUCUAUAGAUCCACAGCUAUGCAGUAAGUCAGGUCUAUAGAUCCACACCACAGCUAUGCAGUAAGUCAGGUCUAUAGAUCCUCAGCUAUGCAGUAAGUCAGGUCUAUAUAUCCACACCACAGCUAUGCAGUUAGUCAGGUCUAUAGACCCACAGCUAUGCAGUAAGUCAGGUCUAUAGAUCCACACCACAGCUAUACAGUAAGUCAGGUCUAUAGAUCCACAGCUAUGCAGUAAGUCGGGUCUAUAGACCCACAGCUAUGCAGUAAGUCAGGUCUAUAGAUCCACAGCUAUGCAGUAAGUCAGGUCUAUAGAUCCACACCACAGCUAUGCAGUAAGUCAGGUCUAUAGAUCCACACCAUAGCUAUGCAGUAAGUCAGGUCUAUAGAUCCACAGCUAUACAGUAAGUCAGGUCUAUAGAUCCACACCACAGCCAUGCAGUAAGUCAGGUCUAUAGAUCCACAGCUAUGCAGUAAGUCAGGUCUAUAGAUCCACAGCUAUGCAGUAAGUCAGGUCUAUAGAUCCACACCACAGCUAUGCAGUAAGUCAGGUCUAUAGAUCCACAGCUAUGCAGUAAGUCAGGUCUAUAGAUCCACAGCUAUGCAGUAAGUCAGGUCUAUAGAUCCACACCACAGCUAUGCAGUAAGUCAGGUCUAUAGAUCCACAGCUAUACAGUAAGUCAGGUCUAUAGAUCCACAGCUAUGCAGUAAGUCAAGUCUAUAGAUCCACAGCUAUACAGUAAGUCAGAUCUAUAGAUCCACACCACAGCUAUGCAGUAAGUCAGGUCUAUAGAUCCACACCACAGCCAUGCAGUAAGUCAGGUCUAUAGAUCCACAGCUAUACAGUAAGUCAGGUCUAUAGAUCCACAGCUAUGCAGUAAGUCAGGUCUAUAGAUCCACAGCUAUGCAGUAAGUCAGGUCUAUAGAUCCACAGCUAUACAGUAAGUCAGAUCUAUAGAUCCACACCACAGCCAUGCAGUAAGUCAGGUCUAUAGAUCCACAGCUAUACAGUAAGUCAGGUCUAUAGAUCCACAGCUAUGCAGUAAGUCAGGUCUAUAGAUCCACAGCUAUGCAGUAAGUCAGGUCUAUAGAUCCACAGCUAUGCAGUAAGUCAGGUCUAUAGAUCCACAGCUAUGCAGUAAGUCAGGUCUAUAGAUCCACAGCUAUACAGUAAGUCAGGUCUAUAGAUCCACAGCUAUGCAGUAAGUCAGGUCUAUAGAUCCACACCACAGCUAUGCAGUAAGUCAGGUCUAUAGAUCCACAGCUAUACAGUAAGUCAGGUCUAUAGAUCCACAGCUAUGCAGUAAGUCAAGUCUAUAGAUCCACAGCUAUACAGUAAGUCAGAUCUAUAGAUCCACACCACAGCUAUGCAGUAAGUCAGGUCUAUAGAUCCACACCACAGCCAUGCAGUAAGUCAGGUCUAUAGAUCCACAGCUAUACAGUA